CCUACGGGUUGCAGCAGUAGGGAAUCUUCGGCAAUGGACGAAAGUCUGACCGAGCAACGCCGCGUGAGUGAAGAAGGUUUUCGGAUCGUAAAACUCUGUUGGUAGAGAAGAACGUUGGUGAGAGUGGAGUGCUCAUCAAGUGACGGUAACUACCCAGAAAGGGACGGCUAACUACGUGCCAGCAGCCGCGGUAAUACGUAGGUCCCGAGCGUUGUCCGGAUUUAUUGGGCGUAAAGCGAGCGCAGGUGGUUUAUUAAGUCUGGUGUAAAAGGCAGUGGCUCAACCAUUGUAUGCAUUGGAAACUGGUAGACUUGAGUGCAGGAGAGGAGAGUGGAAUUCCAUGUGUAGCGGUGAAACGCGUAGAUAUAUGGAGGAACACCGGUGGCGAAAGCGGCUCUCUGGCCUGUAACUGACACUGAGGCUCGAAAGCGUGGGGAGCAAACAGGAUUAGAUACCCGGGUAGUC
rnacentral:rRNA from 1 species